rnacentral:misc_RNA from 1 species
GAUGAAGAACGUAGCGAAAUGCGAUAAGUAGUGUGAAUUACAGAAUUCAGUGAAUCAUCGAAUCUUUGAACGCACAUUGCGCCCUUUGGUAUUCCAAAGGGCAUGCCUGUUCGAGCGUCAUUUGAACCCUCAAGCUUUGCUUGGUGUUGGGCGUCUUGUCUCUAGCUUUGCUGGAGACUCGCCUUAAAGUAAUUGGCAGCCGGCCUACUGGUUUCGGAGCGCAGCACAAGUCGCACUCUCUAUCAGCAAAGGUCUAGCAUCCAUUAAGCCUUUUUUUCAACUUUUGACCUCGGAUCAGGUAGGGAUACCCGCUGAACUUAAGCAUAUCAAUAAGCGGAGGA